UACGGAGGAUGCGAGCGUUAUCCGGAUUUAUUGGGUUUAAAGGGUGCGUAGGUGGGAGAAUAAGUCAGCGGUGAAAGUUUGUCGCUCAACGAUAAAAUUGCCGUUGAAACUGUUUUUCUUGAGUAUGUAUGAGGUAGGCGGAAUGCGUGUUGUAGCGGUGAAAUGCUUAGAUAUCACGCAGAACUCCGAUUGCGAAGGCAGCUUACCAAUCCAUCACUGACACUGAAGCACGAAAGCGUGGGGAUCAAACAGG
rnacentral:rRNA from 1 species